rnacentral:rRNA from 1 species
UCUAGGGCUACACACGUCCUACAAUGGGGUCGACAGUGGGAUGCAAAGCCGCGAGGUGGAGCCAAAUCCCCAAACGGCCUCUCAGUUCGGAUAGUAGUCUGCAACUCGACUACUUGAAGUCGGAAUCGCUAGUAAUGGCGGAUCAGCAUGCCGCCGUGAAUACGUUCCCGGGUCUU